GUCGAGAAUCUUUCACAAUGGGGGCAACCCUGAUGGAGCGACGCCGCGUGGAGGAUAAGGUCUUCGGAUUGUAAACUCCUGUCAUGCGUGAACAAGGUUGCUUGGUUAAUACCUGGGCAAAUUGAUGGUAACGCAAGAGGAAGAGACGGCUAACUCUGUGCCAGCAGCCGCGGUAAUACAGAGGUCUCAAGCGUUGUUCGGAAUCACUGCGCGUAAAGGGUGCGUAGGUGGCGUGGUAAGUCAGAUGUGAAAGCCCGGGGCUCAACCUCGGAACUGCAUCCGAUACUGCCAUGCUAGAGUACUGGAGAGGUGACUAGAAUUCUCGGUGUAGCAGUGAAAUGCGUAGAUAUCGAGAGGAAUACCAAAGGCGUAGGCAGGUCACUGGACAGUUACUGACACUGAGGCACGAAGGCCAGGGGAGCGAACGGGAUUAGAUACCCGGGUAGUCC
rnacentral:rRNA from 1 species